rnacentral:rRNA from 1 species
AUUGAACGCUGGCGGCAGGCCUAACACAUGCAAGUCGAACGAGUGGCGGACGGGUGAGUAAUGUAUGGGAAACUGCCUGAUGGAGGGGGAUAACUACUGGAAACGGUAGCUAAUACCGCAUACCAUCAGAUGUGCCCAGAUGGGAUUAGCUAGUUGUUGGGGUAAAGGCCUACCAAGGCGACGAUCCGUAACUGGUCUGAGAGGAUGAUCAGCCACACUGGAACUGAGAAACGGCCCAGACUCCUACGGGAGGCAGCAGUGGGGAAUAUUGGACAAUGGGCGAAAGCCUGAUCCAGCCAUGCCGCGUGUAUGAAGAAGGCCUUAGGAUUGGAAAGCACUUUAAGUUGGGAGGCGUUACCAACAGAAGAAGCACCGGCUAACUCCGUGCCAGCAGCCGCGGUAAUAC